AUACCAUUAUAAGGACAUUUUCGUAAUAAUUUCUUGAACAACUCCCAUGUCUCAUACAAGGAUUCAUCAUCCAAUUUUUGAAAUGUAGUUAUCUCAUUUCACAAUUU
rfam:Gossypium hirsutum cultivar TM-1 chromosome 15, whole genome shotgun sequence